rnacentral:piRNA from 1 species
UCCACGUUUAACUGUGUGACCUUGGGC